rnacentral:rRNA from 1 species
GACGAACGCUGGCGGCGCGCCUAACACAUGCAAGUCGAACGAGUGAGAGAGAGCUUGCUUUCUCGAGCGAGUGGCGAACGGGUGAGUAACGCGUGAGGAACCUGCCUCAAAGAGGGGGACAACAGUUGGAAACGACUGCUAAUACCGCAUAAGCCCACAGGUCGGCAUCGACCAGAGGGAAAAGGAGCAAUCCGCUUUGAGAUGGCCUCGCGUCCGAUUAGCUAGUUGGUGAGGUAAUGGCCCACCAAGGCGACGAUCGGUAGCCGGACUGAGAGGUUGAACGGCCACAUUGGGACUGAGACACGGCCCAGACUCCUACGGGAGGCAGCAGUGGGGAAUAUUGCACAAUGGGGGAAACCCUGAUGCAGCGACGCCGCGUGGAGGAAGAAGGUCUUCGGAUUGUAAACUCCUGUUGUUGAGGAAGAUAAUGACGGUACUCAACAAGGAAGUGAC